AGGUUCGACCCGAGCGAAGCGAGAGAACGUUGCGUCAGCAACGGCCCGCAG
rnacentral:sRNA from 3 species